AAAGUUUUAGUUUAAUAAAAAUAUUUCAUUUACAUUGAAAAGAUUUUAAAGUAUAUUAUAAAAUUUUA
rnacentral:tRNA from 1 species